rnacentral:rRNA from 1 species
GUUGUAUGGUUAAGUGACUAAGCGUACACGGUGGAUGCCUUGGCAGUCAGAGGCGAUGAAAGACGUAGUAACUUGCGAUAAGCCCAGAUUAGGUAGUAACAACCAUUUGAGUCUGGGAUUUCUGAAUGGGGAAACCCACGUGCAUAAGCACGUAUCCUUACCUGAAUACAUAGGGUAAGGAGGCGAACCGGGGGAACUGAAACAUCUAAGUACCCCGAGGAAAAGAAAUCAACCGAGAUUCCGAAAGUAGCGGCGAGCGAAAUUGGACUAGCCCUUAAGCUUUACACGCGUUAGACGAACGGUCUGGAAAGUCCGACGAUACAGGGUGAUAGUCCCGUAGUUGACGACGUGUGUUCAGUGAAAUCGAGUAGGGCGGGACACGUGAUAUCCUGUCUGAAUAUGGGGGGACCAUCCUCCAAGGCUAAAUACUACUGACUGACCGAUAGUGAACCAGUACCGUGAGGGAAAGGCGAAAAGAACCCCUGUGAGGGGAGUGAAAUAGAACCUGAAACCGUGUACGUACAAGCAGUAGGAGCAGGCUUUGUCCUGUGACUGCGUACCUUUUGUAUAAUGGGUCAGCGACUUAUAUUCAGUGGCAAGGUUAACCAUCUAGGGGAGCCGUAGGGAAACCGAGUCUUAACUGGGCGUUCAGUCUCUGGAUAUAGACCCGAAACCAGGUGAUCUAGCCAUGGGCAGGUUGAAGGUUGAGUAACAUCAACUGGAGGACCGAACCGACUAAUGUUGAAAAAUUAGCGGAUGACUUGUGGCUAGGGGUGAAAGGCCAAUCAAACCUGGAGAUAGCUGGUUCUCCCCGAAAGCUAUUUAGGUAGCGCCUCGGACGAAUACUACUGGGGGUAGAGCACUGUUAAGGCUAGGGGGUCAUCCCGACUUACCAACCCUUUGCAAACUCCGAAUACCAGUAAGUACUAUCCGGGAGACACACGGCGGGUGCUAACGUCCGUCGUGGAGAGGGAAACAACCCAGACCGCCAGCUAAGGUCCCAAAUUACUACUAAGUGGGAAACGAUGUGGGAAGGCUCAGACAGCCAGGAUGUUGGCUUAGAAGCAGCCAUCAUUUAAAGAAAGCGUAAUAGCUCACUGGUCGAGUCGGCCUGCGCGGAAGAUGUAACGGGGCUAAGUAGUAAACCGAAGCUGCGGCAAUAUACUUUUGUAUAUUGGGUAGGGGAGCGUUCUGUAAGCGGUUGAAGGUGUGUGGUAACGCAUGCUGGACGUAUCAGAAGUGCGAAUGCUGACAUGAGUAACGAUAAAGGGGGUGAAAAACCUCCUCGCCGGAAGACCAAGGGUUCCUGUCCAACGUUAAUCGGGGCAGGGUAAGUCGACCCCUAAGGCGAGGCCGAAAGGCGUAGUCGAUGGGAAACGGGUUAAUAUUCCCGUACUUCUUACAAUUGCGAUGGGGGGACGGAGAAGGCUAGGUGGGCCUGGCGACGGUUGUCCAGGUUCAAGUGCGUAGGCUUAAGAGUUAGGUAAAUCCGGCUCUUUCUAAGGCUGAG